ACAACAUUCGGACCGUCGGUCUGUCGAGCAAAUAUCACCCGCUCGAUGGAAGAUCGUCUCUCCGUCGU
rnacentral:pre_miRNA from 1 species